UUUUGGUAUUUUCUUUACAAUUACGCGUACAAUCAACACCCGUACGUAUAUAAAAACCACAAGUAAUAUACACUCCCGUUGGAAAAAAAAAAAAAAAAAAAAAAAAAAAAAAUGAAUGCGCCAAGUUUUAGUGACUAUGCAAAGGCAAAUGUAUAUCUAUGGAAAACCGAAAAUACAAGCAACAAGCUGUUUAACGAAGUUUCAGAAAAAAUAAAAAGUUUAUAUGAACGAGUUAACUACGAUGACAUUUUUCACAAUUGUUAUAAUUAUAUAAAAUAUAUUAACACUAGUGACAUUGAUUUAUUUUUACGUUAUGGCUAUCCUUCGAACAUAAAAAAAAAAAAAAAAUUAAAUCAGAAUAGUUCUAUAUAUCAGAGAGAGAGUAAUACUAAAAAUGUUAGUAAUAAUGACAACGACAAUAAUGGUGAAGACACUGCUUUUUUUAGUAUGUUUAAAAAUGGAAACUAUAUUAAAAGAAAUGGAAAACUAUUAAUAAGAUAUAUAGACUCUAUAAGUAGAUGUCAGAAAGUUGAUAAAAUAAAUUUUUUUCCAAAUGUUUAUAUUUCGAUUGGAAUUCAUGAAUUUGAUGAUGAAAGCAUCGACACGAGUUGUGACGAUAGUAAAACUGGUACUACAAGUGGAACGGACGAUAAAGAAAAAGACAAGAAACGAAUUUGCUCUGAUGCAAAAACGAAAAAGUGCCAAAAAAAUAGGUUAAAAAAAAUAAAAAAAAAAAUAUUAAGUUUAAUAAAAUGGUAUAACAAUUUAUAUUUUACGAACACCUGUGUCUUUAUACAACGAGUUUUUAUAAUCCCAUCUUCAGAUAAAUAUGAUGAUACUAUUAUGUCAAUUAUUAUGAAUAUAAAUGAUAAUUUUGUUUAUACAGAUAAAAACAAUACCAUUAUAAACAAUACAAAUAAAAUAUAUUUUGAUAUUUAUCAGCAUUUGGGUAAUCAGGGGGAAAGUCAUGAUGUAGUGAUAAAAAAAGAAGCGGAAGGUAAAACACACAAGCUAAAGGACAAACUAGCAGACAAACUAGCAGACAAACUAGAGGACAAACUAGAGGACAAUCUAAAGGACAAACUAAAGGACAAACUAAAGGACAAACUAAAGGACAAACUAAAGGACAAAUUAAGAGACAAACCGAGUAAAAAAAAAAAAUAUGAUAAUCAUACACAACACGUUAGUUAUAUUAUGACACCAGAAGAAUUGUUUAAUAAAAAAAAAAAAGUGGACUGGACUAAUGAACAAGUUGAUACAUUUACAGAAGGUAACACAAAACAAAAUAAAAAAAUUGAACAUCCAUAUACGUAUAAUGAAGUUAGUGUUAACAAUAGUAAAUCAAACAAGACUAGUAGCAGCUUUAAUAAUAAUAAAAAAAAAUGUAUUAACAAAAAUAGUAACAUGAUUAGUAGUAAUAGUGUUAGUAGUAAAAGUGUUAAUGUGAAAGUAACUACGAAAGAUAAUCAUAAAACUGUUAAAUUAAAAAAUAUAUAUACAACAAAAUUGCUUAAUGUUUUCAAUAAAUAUACAGGAAAAGAAUACAAGUCAUUAAAUGUGAAAUCGUCUGUUUCUAGUUCAAGUAGUAAUAGAGAUUCAUCUGGUUCAGUUGGUAUUCAUUCGGAAGAAGAUGAAAAAGGUAAAAAUGAUAAAGAAGGUGUGAAUGAUUUAGACAAAAAAUAUGACACCUCUUACUAUAAAAAUGUGGGGGUUAAUAGCGGCAAAAAUAGCGACAAAAAUAGCGACAAAAAUAGCGACAAAAAUUGUGACGAAAGUAGCGACGAAAAUAGCAACAAAAAUAGCGACAAAAAUAGCGACGAAAAUAGCGACAAAAAUAGCGACAAAAAUAGCGACGAAAAUAGCGACAAAAAUAGCGACGAAAAUAGCGACAAAAAUAGCGACAAAAAUUGCGACAAAAAUUGCGACAAAAAUAGCGACGAAAAUAGCGACGAAAGUAGCGACGAAAGUAGCGACGAAAAUAGCGACGAAAGUAGCGACGACAGCUAUGACGAUAUUGUUAAACCUAAAGAUGGGAGGGCACAACACAUUGAAACUAACCAAUUCACAUAUAACCUAAAUGUAAACUCGAAAAAUGACAAAAAAUUAAAUCAAUACGAACAGUUUUAUUGUAACUGUAGCAAUCUUUACAACUUUAAACUAAUUGUAUUACUACCUUCUAUAAAAAAACAUUAUAACAUUCAAUAUAACAAAUUCUUUCAAGCUGUAGUUUUAAAUACUUUUUAUGUAUUUAUUUUUUUUUUACACGAUAUAUUAACAAAAGAAAAAUUAAGAUUUAAUAUAAUGAUGUUUAUUGAUAAUUUAAAUUGUGAUAUGACAAUGCGAAGUACAAAAGUCAGGAGCGAAAGUGUACUAACAUAUCUGGAAAACCAAAAAAAAAAAAAAAUAAUAAAAAAAAAAGAAAAAAAAUUAAAAAAAAAAAAUACUUUUAACGUGAUUUACAAUGAAAGCGAAAGUUUUCAGUUCCAAGGGCAAAAAAACGUAAUUGUUACAAAACAUGUAGAGGGGUUAGGCAAUUCGGAUGCAUAUCCACCCCCUGUAGGAACAUGUGAUAGUCUAAGAGAUAUACAUAUGGAUAGUAGUGGUGACAGUGGUAGUGGCAGUGGUAGUGGUAUUAUUGGGGUUGAUGGAUGUAUCGGUUGUAAUGUUGGUGAUAGUAGUAUUAUAUGUCACAAUAGUGGUAGCAAUAAUAAUAAUAAUAAUAAUAACAUUUAUGUGAAUAUAAAAAAAUACUAUAAUGAUGUAAAAACUAGCAUACUUGGAAAAAGCACUAGUGUGAAUUUUAACAAUGGCUAUGAUGAUGUGUAUAAUAAUACUACUCCCGCCACUAUUGCUCCCACCACUAUUGCUCCCACCACUAUUGCUCCCACCACUAGUACUCCCACCACUAGUACUCCCAUCACUACCACUAAUAAUAAUAAUAAUAAUAAUGUGAAAACGAUUUUUAAAAGCAGUACGUAUACUAUUAAUGAUAAGCGUGCUAACAAUUCGAUACGUUUUGUUCAUGAAGAAAACCAUUCAUAUGAUGUUGUUCAGGAUGUACGUAAUAAUGAUAUGAAUUGUAUUGGUGCUAGUGCUAGUGGAAGUGGUAGUGGUUUUGUGUAUGGUGCUCUUGCUGCUGCUGCGACUACCAGUGGUAGUGGUGAUAUAAGAUGUACCAAUGGUAGUGGAAGUAGUAGCAGUUGUAGUAGCGCAUCAUUUAUGAAACAUACAAAAUACAAAACCAUUAUGAAUAUCAAAAAAAUACAGAAUACAAAAGAAUGUAUACAUAAUAAAUACAUAAUGGAAAAAAAAAAAGGUGAUAUUUUUUUGUUACUUGGUAGCUGCAAUGAUUCAUUGGAUAUGUAUUUACAUUGUUACGAUAUGUGUAAAAGAACACAAGAUUAUAUAUAUGUAGGGAAUAUAAAUUUUUGUAUAGUAUUAACAGUAUAUUUAUAUAUAUUACAAAAUAAGAGUAUAUUUUUAAAAAUAAAUAAUGAUCAAAAUUUUUCUUUUCGUUUUGUUUAUGCAAUUGAAAAUCUUAUUAUUCAAACAUAUGAAGAGGUAGCACCUGUUAAGCAUCAUACAAAAUAUCAUAAUUUUUUUUUUGAUACUUCUUAUAAUGUUCCAAAUAAGGAGAAAACAGGUAUAGGCCAUCAUGCUGCUACCACUCACACUACCCCUCACGCUACCUCUCACACUUCUGCUCAUAUACACUCUCAUUCGCAUUCUAACACAAGCAUAAGCACAAACAUAAACAUAAACACGAAGAUAAACAAACAAACAAACGUUAACUCUCAUCACCAUAAUUACUAUUAUCAUAACACUCAUAAUAACCUGCAUACACAAACACAAACACAUACACAUGCACAUACACAUGCACAUACACAUAAUCACAUGUAUCAUCACAAUUUUAAUUUAUAUAAAAACGAAACAAGUAGUAAUAAAAAUACAAAUGUAGCUAAAAAUAUAAAUUUAUUUAUUAGCCAUGUGAAAGAAAAAGAACAAGAUAUGUUCCCAUCUAUGACAAAUAAUGAAUCUUGUUGGAAUAGCAGCGAAUAUAGUUCUUAUUUUUUUUUUAAUUUAAAAAUAAAACCACAUAAUGUUAUAUUAUAUUUAUUAACUUUGAUAGAAUUUAAAAUGAAUGAGUUGCUUUUUGUUUUUGGAGAUAUUGCAACUAGUAUGAGCACCAGUAAAAGUGGUAGCAACAACACUGAUACUACUACUACUACCACUACUACUACCACUAAUACUGCCACUACUACUACUACUACUACUACUAAUAAUACUACUACUAAUAAUACUGCUACUAAUACUGCCACUAAUACUGCCACUAACACUACCAAUACAACCAAGUCAAAUAUCUACAAAAAUAACAACUCUCCUGAAAUUUGUGAAUUAGCACAAGAGUACUUCACAAAUUAUAUUCUGUGCUAUUUGAAUUAUUUACUUAUGAUAAAAAAAAAUAAAAGAAUAAUAUUAUAUAAUGUCAUUAACAAAUAUUCACAUGUGUUUGAAAAACUAAAUUACAAUUUAUAUGUUUACUUUCAUAUUGAAUUAUCUCUUAUAUAUAAACAUAUAGGUGCUUUCCGUAAAAUGGCAUUUACAAUUUAUUUAUUAUGUUUAUGCUUUUAUUUAAAUAAAAAAUAUUAUAUGGCAUAUUUUUUUCUUAACCAGUUACUUCCUUUUCAUGGAUUACCUUGUAUAGACUCUACUUUUGACAAUGUUACUUGUUUUUCUGAAAAUUAUACUAAGAUAGGACAACAACCAAAAACUGACACCAACAUCAAUAACAACAAAUUAACUAGUAACACUUUAAACAUGAUAUUCUAUUAUAAGCAACAAAAUUUUGAUAUCUUUAUUGAAUGGUUGGAAAAUAGAAUAAAAUGUAGUGAAAAAGGUAAACACACGAAUGAAAAGACACAAGCAGAUGACACAUUGUCAUAUUUAUUAAAAAGCAAAAAUAGUAUGUCUAAUUGUUUGUCUGAAAAAGAUAAUAAUAGUAGUAAAAAUAAUAAUAUUCUUUUUUCUGAAGAAAUUGAUGUUGAUUUGAAGGGUAAGACAAGUUAUAUACAAAAUGAUAUAACCCGAAACAUGAAGAAUAACACAUAUGUAUAUACUAUUUUUGAAUCACUUUUAAAACAGACAAACCCACAAGAAUAUGAAAAACAUAACGAUACUUUAUAUAGUUUAAAAAGUUUAUUUUUAUUUUGUUCUUCAAAUGUGAGAUCACAUAGUGUUUUAACUUUAUACCGACAUAAUAAAAAUGUGCAAAUUUACAAAAAUGUGAAUGAAAAAAAAAACAAAAACAAAUAUAAUAAUAUUAAAAAAUUAAAAAUACUUUUUUUUAUUAGCUCAGUUUUAAAAAAAAUCAAAUAUAAUAAACACUUUGUUAUGUCUAAUUUAUUUAUUUUAACAUUUUUAUACUAUAAUUUAUCUGAAGAAAAACAGAUCAAAAUUUUAUGUACAAUUCAUGAAAUAUUGAAUAAAAAAAAAAAAUAUAUUUACUUACCUUUAUUUAUUACUUUAUUGUUAGAUAAAAAGCGAAAAAAAAAAAACUACAUUUAUUUGAAUCGAAUGUUUAGCAAAGGUGAUAAUAAAAAAACAGUUAGUCGACAUUGUUUUGAUUUUUCCUCUGCACAUUAUGACUAUUGCAUGGGUACAAGUGUGGGUGAUAGUGGUGAUGGUAGUGGUGAUGGUAGUGGUGAUGGUAGUGGUGAUGGUAGUGGUGAUGGUAGUGGUGAUGGUAGUGUUAGUGGUAGUGUUAGUGGUAGUGUUAGUGUUAGUGGUAGUGUUAGUAGUAGUGGUAGUGUUAGUGGUAGUGUUAGUGGUAGUAGUAGUGGUAGCGGUAGUGGUGGUAGUAGUAGUAGUAGUAGUAGUAGUAGUAGUAGUGGUAGUAGUAGUGGUAGUAAUAGCGGUAGUGCGACUGACACUACUUCCUACACCAACCUAUCAUACAAUUCUUCUCCCAACACAUCAGACACAUCCAUAUCGACGGGCGAAC
rnacentral:lncRNA from 1 species